rnacentral:sRNA from 1 species
UUUCGCGGCCUUCGCCCGCACUCGCGGGCGUUCCCCGCCUUCAACACGCCCGCGGCGGACCGCCGCGAAGGCCGCGAUCUCAGGCCGCCUGGACCCCAUGCCAGGCGGCCUACUCU